UUCCUACGGGAGGCAGCAGUGGGGAAUAUUGCGCAAUGGGGGCAACCCUGACGCAGCAACGCCGCGUGCGGGACGAAGGCCCUGCGGGUCGCAGACCUCUUUGGACGGGGAGCAAGGCCGCCGACGUGUCGGCGGAAGGAGAGUACCCGUAGAACAAGCAUCGGCUAACUCCGUGCCAGCAGCCGCGGUAAUACGGAGGAUGCGAGCGUUAUCCGGAUUUAUUGGGUUUAAAGGGUGCGCAGGCGGCACGGCAAGCCGGCGGUCAAAUCGCGGGGCUCAACCCCGCCCAGCCGUCGGAACUGCCG
rnacentral:rRNA from 1 species